CGUUACCUACAGAAGAAGCACCGGCUAACUCCGUGCCAGCAGCCGCGGUAAUACGGAGGGUGCGAGCGUUAAUCGGAAUUACUGGGCGUAAAGCGCAUGCAGGCGGCCUGUUAAGUCAGAUGUGAAAGCCCGGGCGUUAACCUCGGAAUUGCAUUUGUAAACUGGCAGGCUAGAGUCUUGUAGAGGGGGUAGGAAUUUCAGGUGUAGCGGUGAAAUAGCGUAGAGAUCUGAAGGAAUACCAGUGGCGAAGGCGGCCCCCUCGGACAAAGACUGACGCUCAGAUGCGAAAGCGUGGGGAGCAAACAGGAUUAGAUACCCUGGUAG
rnacentral:rRNA from 1 species